GCCCGGGUAGCUCAACUGGUAGAGCAGCAGACUUUUAAUCUGACGGUUCGGGGUUCAAGUCCCUGGUCGGGCA